rnacentral:rRNA from 1 species
GACAGAGGAUGCAAGCGUUAUCCGGAAUGAUUGGGCGUAAAGCGUCUGUAGGUGGCUUUUUAAGUCCGCCGUCAAAUCCCAGGGCUCAACCCUGGACAGGCGGUGGAAACUACCAAGCUAGAGUCCGGAAGAGGAGAGUGGAAUUCCUGGUGUAACGGUGAAAUGCGCGAGAUAUCAGGAAGAACACCUAUGGCGAAGGCAGCUCUCUGGGACGGUACUGACGCUGAGACGCGAAAGCGUGGGGAGCGAACAGG